rnacentral:snRNA from 1 species
AGCUUUGCACAGUGGCAGUAUCAUUGCCAAUGAGGUUUAUCCAAGGCACAAUUAUUGCUAAUUGAAAACUUUUCCCAAUACCCUGCCGUGACGACUUGCAAUACAGUCAGCGCUGGCAAUUUUUGACAGUCUCUAGGAAGA